rnacentral:lncRNA from 1 species
AUUCUAUCUUGGCUUCAGGUCCACAGCGGUUCCAGCUUUAAUGAGGUGACUGUGCCCUGAGAUCUAAGAAUGCCACCUCCUCUCUACAAUGCUGGCAUCAGAGCUGGCAGUGGUUUCUUGCUGCUAUUAAUCUCUGGGUGACCACAAUUUAGCUUUUUAGUUCAUCCAGUGCCAUGCUGGUCCAUUCCUGCAAUAGACUCCCUCUUAAACAUGCAGUGAUUGAUGUCAUCUUUCAUUCACCGACCUUAGAAAUUUGUACAUCAGAAUUUAUUAAUAUUGGGACACAUAUUCAAAAAUUAUACCUUACAGACAUAUCUGCGAAUCAUAUGACUUGCAGGAUUGUGAAAGAC